rnacentral:rRNA from 1 species
UAUUGGUCAAUGGUCGGGAGACUGAACCAGCCAAGCCGCGUGAGGGAGGAAGGUACAGAGUAUCGUAAACCUCUUUUGUCAGGGAACAAAGACGGGGACGCGUCCCCGGAUGAGUGUACCUGAAGAAAAAGCAUCGGCUAACUCCGUGCCAGCAGCCGCGGUAAUACGGAGGAUGCGAGCGUUAUCCGGAUUUAUUGGGUUUAAAGGGUGCGUAGGCGGGCUGUUAAGUCAGCGGUCAAAUGUCGGGGCUCAACCCCGGCCUGCCGUUGAAACUGGCGGCCUCGAGUGGGCGAGAAGUAUGCGGAAUGCGUGGUGUAGCGGUGAAAUGCAUAGAUAUCACGCAGAACUCCGAUUGCGAAGGCAGCAUACCGGCGCCCGACUGACGCUGAGGCACGAAAGCGUGGGUAUCGAACAGGA